UAUUAAAAAAUGUAAUAUUUAGUAAAAUUAUGAAAAUUGAAAUUUAUUAUGUUAAAACGGUAAAUCAGGGGAGUCGUGGUGUGGCGGACCUGGAAGGCUCUCCUGAGGGAAUUUAAUAUUUAUUUGUUCUUCGGAUUACCGUCUGGACUUCCAAUUGAGCUAUUCGCACAGAGCACUUCAAAUGUGUAUGGGAGGUAGUGAUUAUGUAUAAAGAAAUGAAUAUAACACUUUCGAAAUAAUGCUGGUUAUAAAUAUUAAAAUGUAUUAUAAGAUAAACAUUAAGUUACAAAAGAAAAGUAAAAAUUAAUAUAAAUGUAUAUAUAUAUAUACAAAGUAAACUUUCAUAAUAACAAUGCAAGUAUAAGAAUAUGCUUUACAGUUAUAGUGUUUAUUCUGUAUUGGUAGACAAUAGACUGACUAACGCUAGAAAAUAUUGAUAUAGCCAAAAUAAAGGGGAUUUCCACAGGCGGAUAAAUUAUUUUAUUAAGUAGUGGUAACACAACAGUGGCAUACUUGGCUCAAGUAUAGAUGAUAUCUAACACUGAUUAAAAUUCCCAUCAUAUUUAAUUCGAUAGGAUAUUUUAUAAGCUUUAAUUUGGUGUAUAAUUAUUGCCUGGACUCGUCUCGGAACUUUGUCAAAAGUACAAAAAACCGUACUCAGGUCGGAGAAUAUGUAGUGUUAUUACCGCAGAUAUUGCUCAGCAAUUUCUCUUUUACGUGUUACUUGGAAACUCGAGUACCAUUUUUGACUAAUGCCAUUCGAUAGGAUAUUUUAUAAGCUUUAAUUUGGUGUAUAAUUAUUGCCUGGACUCGUCUCGGAACUUUGUCAAAAGUACAAAAAACCGUACUCAGGUCGGAGAAUAUCUAGUGUUAUUACCGCAGAUAUUGCCCAGCAAUUUCUCUUUUACGGGUUACUUGGAAACUCGAGUACCAUUUUUGACUAAUGCCAUUCGAUAGGAUAUUUUAUAAGCUUUAAUUUGGUGUAUAAUUAUUGCCUGGACUCG